rnacentral:lncRNA from 1 species
UUUCUCUUAGAGAAACGAGUAAUGGUACUAGGGUGUUAUCGUCGGCAAACUUCUUUAUGCGGGUUCGUGCCCCAUCAUAAUGAGACGCUACCAGGACAUUUUAUUAAUGGAACUGGCCGAAGGUUACGUUCCAUCAUUAAUAUUCACCGAUGUGGCGAUCUCUACAGUGGACUAGGACUUUAAUAGGCGUCCAAAGUGUAUAAGGUAUCGAUUUACUGCAUGAGAACAAACACGUGUGGGAAAAGUAAGAAGAA